GCUUACGGCCAUACCACCCUGAACCUGCCCGAUCUCGACUGAUCUCGGAAGCUCCGCAGGGUCGGGCCUGGUUAGUACUUGUAUGGGAGACCACCUGGGAAUACCAGGUGCUGUAAUUU
rnacentral:rRNA from 1 species